rnacentral:rRNA from 1 species
CCUACGGGCGGCAGCAGUAGGUACAGCUCAGGCAGCUCAGGCAGCUCAGGUUCCGGCGGCAGCUACAGCGGAGGCUCAUCCUCAGGCUCAUCCUCAGGCGGAUCACGGUCGUCAUCAUCCUCAUCCUCUUCAGGCGGCAGCAGGAGAUAAAAUAACAGGCAUACAGAGAAUGUUCAUGUUCCGCAAAAAGCAGGAGCAACAGGGAUUGUAUACAAAAAAACCAGGAAAUGAAAAGGAAAAUAGCACUCACAGCCACCAUCCUACUGCAGCCCCCCGUAGG